UAAAUCAAAUUAAUUAGAAUUGUGCAUUAUAAAUUUUAAUUAACUUAUAUACAAUGCUAAAUUUUCAUUAAUCAUUGAAUUAAAUAAAGCUCAAGAUCUUUUCAUCGAAUAAUUAAUCUCAAAAUGUGAUCUCUACUUUAGUUGUAAAAGUGAACAAAUCAUCACGUUGAACCGUAGAUUUUGACACACUUUAGCCUCGUAAAUCAUUCCGUUUAUGACAGAUUGAAAUUGAAAAUGUGCUAAUCAAAUCAAUUAUCGGAAUAAUACAAAUGCAAACUCGUGCUCAACGUUUUCAUGAACUUUUAACUUAACACUGGUUACCGUUACCAUUCUAAUAUUUUUUUUUCUUUCUUCUACUCAGGUUAACAAGUCUUGUGUUUCGUUUUGUUUUUUGACAGUCAAAUGGAUUCAUCGAGAAUAUGUAUGAGUUUUCACAGAAGCUGCAUGACCAAACACAAAGUGGACAGCAAACAAGAUUGAACAAAAGAAAGAACCAGCUAAUGAUGACCACAAGGAAUACCACAGAAGCUGUGUCAACCUAUGCUAAUGAGUGUGUAAAGCAAAAAUAUUUGGACCGCAGUUUCUUUUACCAUAAAAAUAUAUACAAGGCCAACGAUGCUUUGAAUAAUGAGUAUCAGUUAAUUUAUUAAAAUUACUUUUACAAUUCAAAUAUAUGGAAAUCAAAAACAUUAUAUGGGCUUUGGAAUCUGAUGGUAAAGCCAAUUAGAUGUAAUCUAUUUCCUAUUCGGACACUCAUUUGUGGUUUCACUAUUUUCCUAUGCAAGAAAAGCAUUCCCUUUGGCUAUUUGAAGACGAUGCCCUAGCAUAACAUGUAUUUCUAUAGGACUUUUCAUCAUUUAACUAUUCCUGUUGUUGGAUUAUUUUCUUAUUUCUACCUACACCAUUCUCCGUUUAUCUUGGUAAUCUUAUUAGACUGCCAUAUUAUUCAAAUUUAUGCUCACCUAACAGUCAAUUAUCUGAAUUAUAGUAAAUUCCAGGUAUUGAAAUUUUGAAUCAUUAACCAUUCAAGUUUUAAUGGAGAUCUUGAUUGCAGCCUUUAUCGGACAAUGUGCUAAAUUAUUAAAUUGGUGAACUGUAAAUGUUAUCCCGAAACGACUACAACAACAGUUUUCCUUUCUUUCAAGUUAUUAAAUAAGCGUUAAAAACUCCUCUCACAAUACAAGUAAAUCAAUUUUUCAACAAUUCUUCACCUAAAAUGGGCCAAGCUUUCACUUACAUCAUUACGCUGGUCAAGAUUUCUUAAUCAAUUCUCGGAGUCCGUCAAUAAAAUAAAGAAACUGUUAUAAGUUGAUUUAUAUAAUUGAUUGUGGUUGCAGUUGCAUGUCAAUUUCAUUUAAAUGAUCACUCCAUGCAUAUUUUUCACCAAUCCUGUAAAAUUUAAAACUAGCCGCAUUGAUAUCCGUCUCAAAUUUUCAGUUGGCCAGCGUUUCUUACAAUGUUAAAAGGAGUGAAUUUUAUUGCUUCAACCCAAGGCACCCAGAAAGGUUACGAUGACACUUAAUAUCACUCAAGAAUCUUGAAAGAUAUUCUUACAUAUUUUUGGAUAAUUGACAAAGUUAUAGCUCUUUCAAUCCAUUCGAGUAUCAAGGAGGAAAAAAAGCUGACAAUUUAUACUGCACCGUUUCCCUACUUUUGUUUGAACUAACACAAUUCAUGGUCAACACAAAAGUUAUCGAGAUGCUGUUAAACCUUAAUUACAGGGGCUAAAGUAACAUGGACUACAAUCUUAAAAACAACAAAUUCUUGGUAAAGUUGAAGUGAAAAAGAAAGGAUGAAGGAGAAGAAGAAGGCGAAUAUACCUCAAAUGGAUUAUACUUCAAGUUAGUGUUAUUUGGUGUUGUUGCUUCUGUCGUUUAAAAACAUGACUUUUCUAAGUCAAUUUUCUUCAACAUCUCUUCUCUUCACUUAUCUGUAGGAAAACACAAAUCCAGCAAAAAGAAGGAAAAAACUGUUUUGUUGCUUGUCAAAGUUGAUUCCUUAAUUGCUAGUUGAUCAAUAAGAGGAAAAGUAAAAGGAAGAGAAAGUAAAAGCUCCUAAGCCCAUCGCCAUCAUCAUCAUCAUCAUCAACAUCAUCUUCAUAAUCCUCAUCAAUAGCUUAUCUCGGCCUCUUUGCAGCUUCUGGUAAUCAUUUCACCUUAAAAAAUAUUUACCCUUUCAUUAUUACCCUGACCACUUUAGUUUUACUCUUUCAUCCUCUGUGUGUUUCCAAGUUUAACAUAUAGUUAAUGAGUUCUUACCGUUCCUUGAAUUUAAAUUAACCAUGAACAAAGUCAAAAAAAACAAUGAAUCUUGUUUUGUUUUGUUUUUUACCAAAAAAACAUAGAAACUGAAAUUUUUGAUUUUGACAGAAUCACAAAUAAUUUAUGAUAGGCUCACACACUGAGUAUCAUUUUGUUUCAAACAAUUAGAAAAGACAUUUAUCAAAAUGCUCUGCAGAAUCAACCAUUUGCAAAAGAGCAAGAAAUUUUGAUGAAAUGUUAACCAUCAAUUGAAAUCAAAUAAUUUCCUCAACCAACCUAUCAUUGUGGUUUGUAUGUUUAAGAAACGUCUUCAUGGUUAUAUUGUACAACUGGAUAACGUUGCCUUUCAAUUGGAUAUCAAAGUAAUUGUCAAAAAGGGGAAGUGGUCAGCAAAAUAUAAGCAAACACUAGCAAACAAUGGAUCCAAGAUGGUGUUGAAGGUUGGCAAGAUAGAUGGACGUUUGAUGAUGUUACCUUUCCUCUCCAUGAUUGCCUUUCUACCUGUCUCUCCAUUUCUCUGUCUACCUUUCUCUCUUUUUCUCUUUACAUUUAUUAGUUAUUUAUUUUUCUCAACUUUACUUCAACUUGUUGGAGGAGAAAUCAACUGACAUUGUUAAACCAGUCUCUCAAAGUUCCGGGUCAAUCUCUUUCUUUCUUUCAAUUCUACUGUAAAAAAAGGUUUACCUUUGGUUGUUUCAUGGCAAAGGUAGGGCGUAAUUAAGGAUAUCACGACUUAAAUCACGAUUUGGUGUAGAGUCUUUUCUUACUUACUCCUGCUGACUGAUCAUCAGCAUCAGUUUACUGGUUUACCUGUAAAAAUAAAGCCUUACCGUUGACCACGAAAGUAUCAAAAUGGAGUACAAAAAAAGAGAGACACACAAAUGCAUAGGAAAAGGGCCAAAAGAAGAAGAAACGCUGAUGAUUAUGAUUAUGAUGACUUUUAAUCUCUACUUUCUCAGAAAGAUGCAUUUUUGCAUGAAUCUAUCCUCCCACCAAAACUAUGGAUAUUCAUACUAAUCUUCAUCUCGCCCUCAACCUCCCUCUCAUCAUAAUCAUCCGAAUGAUCAUCUCAACUCUCAUUCCCAUUCUUUUCAGAUGUAAUGAUUAAAGAGAGGAAUAAUUUUACUUUUUCUCUUUUUUUUGCUCUCAAAGUUAAUGGCGACGGAGAUUUGAUUGUGUUUUUAUCCAUUAUUAUUGAUGUUAACAGUCAUUUUGUUUUGCUGUUAUACAUAUUACAUACAAUUUGAUAAACUCUUAUAAUGUUUUUGAGCUGUUUACUCCUUUUCAAGUUAACCAGACUUGAUUAAAGUUUAACAGCAACAAAUCAUUAUUUAACAAAAACCUAAUAUUUGGUGAUUGAUCCAAUGUUGCUGUUAAUUUAAAACAAAAUUCAUAUCUUCUGAAGCACCCAUUCAUUGGAUGGAAUCGUGAUAAUCAAAUAUUAAAGAAGUCAAACAAAUGAAUAACCGUGGAAUGGUCAAGCCAUAAUACAAAGCUUUAAUGUAACGAUGAAAGACACCAAAUGAUAAGCCAAAAAUAACUGAUGUGCAAAGUUCAAUCAAAAAAUAAGGAAAAGGUUCAUCUUGAUUCUUCUUUAAUGAUCACAUGAAAUAUACUUAAUAUUGAUGUUCAUCUCAACAUUAAUAACAUAUGACUUUUACCCUGUCAUCAAAAGAAAUGAUCAAUUUUGAUUUAACAUUAUUUUAGGUUAUUUCAUGUGGUUCAAGGGUGAAAUAGUGUUUCAAACUAUAGCUUUAAAUUGUUGAUGUGAAUAAGUUGAGUUUGCACAAAAGUCUCUCUAUAGUUCUGAAUCUUUUUUAUUCUGAACCUUUUCUCAUUCAAGAGCCAAGAAUCUCUUUUUCACUUACACUCCUGUUCACUGAUCAUCAGGCUCAGUUUACUGGUUACUUGACAACAACAUUACCAAGCAAAAAGCACUCACAAGUAAAGAUAUUAAAGCUAGAAACAGAUGUUUCAAAGAUUGUUAAUGGUCAAUUAGAUUUGUAAGAGGAAAAAUAUGGCCAAAAAACAUUUUAACAAAACGACCAAAAAAACCAUAAUCAAUGCUGAAAAUGACCAUUAAAAGAAAGGAUCAGACAAAGUUCAUGAUAAAAAAAGACUUUUCCUUUUACCAAAUUUUCUCAUAUUUACAUAAAUUACAUUCACCAGAAAACUAGAGUUAAUGGUGUUGAUUGAUUUACAUUGUUAACCAAUGCUUUUAUUGAUCAUCUAAACCUUUUAAUGGAUCAAACCAUUGACUUGAGCCCAGUUAUUGAUUCAUCAGUUUCAUCAUGUAAUCUAUGAUAAUGUUCAAUCUAUUUUGACAAUUUGUUAAUCUUGCUUUUUUACCUUAACUGGACUUUGAUGCCUCAAGGUGGAUAAACAAGAUUAACAAUAUUAACUGAGUGGACAUAAUUACUAGUAUCGGUUAUGUGACCAAGUAUAAUCCAAAAGCUACCAAAAAAAGCCAAAAGCAAAUGAUUUUGACCAUUUUUAUGGCUCAAGUCAAUUGAUGUUUAACGUUAAUCAUAAGCGUCAAGACUAAUUAUAGACAUUACAUUGAACAAUGUUCAAUUUUUCAUAACUCAUCAUCUAGAUAUAAAUUAUAUAACCUGAUAUUCAAUCAUUUCCUGAAUACUGUUAUUGUUUACCUUAAGGUAACAAUUAGAGUAACAAAUCUGAGGAGUUAAACGUAAUUAUAAUAUUAUGCACAUUAUAAUUAUAAACAAUGUUAGAUAUUAAUUAUUAUAAUAAUUUCUGUUGGUCACCCAAUGUUGGUCCACCAAAAGCCAAUGGAUUUUCACACUUUGGUUAUAAAUCAAAUGGUAAAAUGUUUGAUUAUUUUUAAAGGCAAUUUUAAACCUUUUACAUCAAUAUCCACAUUAACCAUUGAGAUUAUCAACAAAUAUUCAACAUUUUUCCAAAUUAAUUGUUUCCUUAAUUUUUCAUCAUUUUCUCUCAAUUGUCACAGUUAAUUGCAACUAGGCUUGGUCUUAAAAUAUGUUGUGAUAAUUGGGUUUAAUAAUACUUUAUUUCGAGUUCCUUUUUUGCCUUUUUCACCUCAAAAAUGAAUCUUUUUUUUCUUACCUUGUUAUACACAGUUAAAGGAUCCAUAACUAUCAUUAUG